rnacentral:rRNA from 1 species
CGUGGCAGUGAGACAGUGGGGGAUAAGCUUCAUUGUCGAGAGGGAAACAACCCAGACCAGCAGCUAAGGUGCCUAAAUAACGCUCAGUGGAAAGGAUGUGGGAUUACACAGACAGUGAGGAUGUUGGCUUAGAAGCAGCCACCAUUUAAAAAAUGCGUAAUAGCUUACUCAUCGAGUGAUCCUGCGCCGAAAAUGAUUGGCGAUCAAGCGUUAUACCGAAGCUCUGGACUUUACCUUACGGUAGAGUGGUAGAAGAGCGUUGCAUGCGCGUUGAAGGGUGAUGGCGACUGACCCUGGAGCACAUGCAAGUGAGUAUGCAGACAUGAGUAACGUAAAGCCGGGUGAAAUCCCCGGCCGCCGUAAACCCGAGGUUUCCAGGGCAACGUGUUUCGUCCCUGGGUUAGCCGGGACCUAAGCCGAGGCCGAGAGGCGUAGGCGAUGGAUAUCAGGUUAAUAAUCCUGAGCUCGCGACCCUUAAACUGGGGGGACGCAUGAGAAAAGAUGACUAGGUUAUUGAAUUCCGAGUUGAGUCCACGGACUCAGCGCAUCAUUGGAUCGAGUGCCAAGAAAAGCCCCAGCGUAUGCUAAGCGACCCGUACCGCAAACCGACACAGGUGGGUGGGUAGAAUAUACCAAGGCGUAAGAGUGAAACCUGGUUAAGGAACUCGGCAAAUUAGCCCCGUAACUUCGGAAGAAGGGGUGCUCUCUAGGGUGACAUGUUUAACAUAUGAAGCCCCGGGGAGCCGCAGUGAAUUGGUGGUGGCGACUGUUUACUAAAAACAUAGGUCUGUGCGAAGUCCUAAAGACGACGUAUACGGACUGACGCCUGCCCGGUGCUGGAAGGUUAAAAGGAGGGGUCAGCGCAAGCAAAGCUCCGAAUUGAAGCCCCAGUAAACGGCGGCCGUAACUAUAACGGUCCUAAGGUAGCGAAAUUCCUUGUCGGGUAAGUUCCGACCUGCACGAAUGGCGUAACGAUCUCCACACUGUCUCGGCCAGAGACUCGGUGAAAUUGCAGUCGCGGUGAAAAUUCCGUGUACCCGCAGAAAGACGGAAAGACCCUGUGCACCUUUACUAUAGCUUGACAUUGGAUUUUGGGCCUGCAUGUGUAGGAUAGGUGGGAGGCUGUGAACCCUGUACGCCAGUAUGGGGGGAGCCAUCCUUGAAAUACCACCCUUGCAUGUUUAAGAUCCUAACUUCUUCCGGUUAUCCCGGAGAAAGACAGUGUCUGGCGGGUAGUUUGACUGGGGCGGUCGCCUCCUAAAGUGUAACGGAGGCAUGCAAAGGUUCCCUCAGCCUGAUCGGAAACCAGGCGCUGAGUGCAAACGCAUAAGGGAGCUUGACUGUAAGAGAGACAUCUCGAACAGGAACGAAAGUUGGCGUUAGUGAUCCGGUGGUCCCGUAUGGAAGGGCCAUCGCUCAUUGGAUAAAAGGUACGCCGGGGAUAACAGGCUGAUCGCAUCCAAGAGUUCACAUCGACGAUGCGGUUUGGCACCUCGAUGUCGGCUCAUCACAUCCUGGGGCUGAAGCAGGUCCCAAGGGUACGGCUGUUCGCCGUUUAAAGUGGUACGCGAGCUGGGUUUAAAACGUCGUGAGACAGUUUGGUCCCUAUCUUCUGUGGGCGAAGGAGAAUUGAGAGGGCCUGUCCCUAGUACGAGAGGACCGGGAUGGACGCACCCCUGGUGAUCCUGUUGUCGCGCCAGCGGCAUAGCAGGGUAGCUAUGUGCGGAAGGGAUAACCGCUGAAAGCAUCUAAGCGGGAAGCCUGCCUCAAGAUAAGUUCUCCCCUCGAAAGAGCUGAAGGGCCCGGGUAGACUACCCGGUCGAUAGGCUGGAGGUGUAAGCGCGGCGACGUGCUCAGCUGACCAGUACUAAUAGCCCGAGCGGCUUAUUU